UAAUCCCAGCACUUUGGGAGGCCGAGGCGGGCGGAUCACAAGGUCAGGAGAUCGAGACCAUCCUGGCGAAUACGGUGAAACCCCGUCUCCACUAAAAAAUACAAAAAAAAUCAGCUGGGCAUGGUGGCGGGUGCCUGUAGUCCCAGCUCCUUGGGAGGCUGAGGCAGGAGAAUGGCAUGAACCUGGGAGGCAGAGCUUGCAGCGAGCCGAGAUCGCGCCACUGCACUCAAGCCUGGGUGACAAAGUGAGACUCCGUCUCAAAAAAAAAUAAUAAUAAUUAAUAAAGAACCCCCUCAGGAGGUUCCAGGGGCCUCAGUGCAAUUGUGACUGCACCAGGUGUGACUUGGGAACCCUGGCGAGGAGGCAAGAGAGCGGGAGCCUGUGCAGCUAAUUCCACAGGAAGGGAGACCACCCAGAUCCAGAGGCCGAGGCCUUCCUCCUGACAGCUCCCUGGCCAUUCAUCUUGUGCACAUGGCUACAUAAAAGGAGUCGAGAGAUCGAGUCCAUUCUUUCCCUCCUCUGGGGCUUGCUUGCAAGGCGGGGUUGGGUCAAGGUUGGGGCAGCCUCUCUCUUCCUCCCUGCUUGGUGCCUCAGUGACCAGCCAGCUCCCUGCCCCACCCAGCUGGCCCCAGGCCACCGGCCGGGCCUGGGACUCAACUUGCCAACUUACAGCCUGAGGGAGGGCUGGGCUCUUCAAAAACAGCCUCAAAUCAUCCAGGCCGCUGACAGCCACAGGGCAAGCGCCCAGAGCCCAUUCUUUCUGUCUGGCCUCCAUCUCAUCCGGCUAUCCCAGGAUCCCAGGAGUGGCUGUUGAUGGAGCCCUUCCCAUGGACUGGGCCUUUGCACACACAUUGCACCAAAUUCUCACAGCAGCCGAGCCAGCCCUGCCCCACCUGAUUGGUUAAACCAUCUGCUGCCUGGUGUCUCCUCCACUGGACGACCAGGACCGAAGGGGCUGGAGAAGGAUUAACUCCAAUGUCCAGUGCCUGUCCCUGC
rnacentral:lncRNA from 1 species